CCUAAGCGCACCGGUGUGCCGCUGCUGCGUGCGCGGUGCCCGGCCAGUGCAGUGCCUUAUCGUCAACCGGUUCGCGUCCUCGGGGCGUGCGCGUGAGUGCGUGUGCGUGCGUGCAGGGAGACUGCUGGGUCGUGUCGGAGGCGCCACCGGGACCACCAGGACGCCGACGUCGCCGGGAGCGGAGUCGAGGCCGAGCGUCGCGCCGUGUCCAAAGGACCAAACUCCCAAAAAAAGGAAGACCUCUCCGACUCUCCGGGCCCGGCUCCGGCUGCCCAGGCAGGACGAUGCGGCGCGGCUGGCGCGGCCGCUGGAAGGCUCCAGCGUCUUCUCCAGCGCCUGCUCCAGCACAGGGGCUUUAGCAGCCUUGGCUGCGAAGCGCGACCAGCGCGACCCGGUGCAGUGCGCCAGUGCAUCGUAGUGGGCGUGGGUGUGCGAGUGUGUGUGCGCGCGCUGUCGCCGCUGUCGACCUGGCUCCCUCUGGCUUCACGCCCACCAAGGCCCUGUCGCUGGGCCUGCCCCUGGGCCUGCCGGGCCUGCCCUGCGCCGCCAGCGCCGCGACCAUCUUCUCCUCGCAGGGAGUCCGCUGCCACCGCGUCUUCAAGUACAAAGGUAUCCAUGAUUUGAGUCGGCGAGGUGACUUCGCCAAUCAGCUUCAAGAACUGGGCAAGCUCCGCCACCGUGGAGAAGGAGGGG